rnacentral:rRNA from 1 species
UGGGUGAUCUGCCCUGCACUUCGGGAUAAGCCUGGGAAACUGGGUCUAAUACCGGAUAUACCUCAUUGAUCUCCUGGUUGGUGGGGGAAAGCUUUUGCGGUGUGGGAUGGGCCCGCGGCCUAUCAGCUUGUUGGUGAGGUUACGGCUCACCAAGGCGUCGACGGGUAGCCGGCCUGAGAGGGUGUCCGGCCACACUGGGACUGAGACACGGCCCAGACUCCUACGGGAGGCAG